AACGAACGCUGGCGGCAUGCCUAACACAUGCAAGUCGAACGAGACCUUCGGGUCUAGUGGCGCACGUGUGCGUAACGCGUGGGAACCUGCCCUUAGGUUCGGAAUAACUCCCCGAAAGGGGUGCUAAUACCGGUUAAUGUCUUCGGACCAAAGAUUUAUCGCCUUUGGAUGGGCCCGCGUUGGAUUAGCUAGUUGGUAGGGUAAAAGCCUACCAAGGCGACGAUCCAUAGCUGGUCUGAGAGGAUGAUCAGCCACACUGGGACUGCGACACGGCCCAGACUCCUACGGGAGGCAGCAGUGGGGAAUAUUGGACAAUGGGCGAAAGCCUGAUCCAGCAAUGCCGCGUGAGUGAUGAAGGCCUUAGGGUUGUAAAGCUCUUUUACCCGGGAUGAUAAUGACAGUACCGGGAGAAUAAGCUCCGGCUAACUCCGUG
rnacentral:rRNA from 1 species